rnacentral:rRNA from 1 species
UACAGAGGGUGCGAGCGUUAAUCGGAAUUACUGGGCGUAAAGCGCGCGUCGGCGGCUUUGCAAGUCGGGUGUGAAAUCCCCAGGCUUAACCUGGGAACUGCAUUCGAGACUGCAUUGCUAGAGUAUGGGAGAGGGAAGUGGAAUUUCCGGUGUAGCGGUGAAAUGCGUAGAUAUCGGAAGGAACAUCAGUGGCGAAAGCGACUUCCUGGACCAAUACUGACGCUCAUGUGCGAAAGCGUGGGGAGCAAACAGG